AGAAUCAACGCUGGCGGCGUGCCUAACACAUGCAAGUCGAACGCGAAAGGGGAGCAAUCCCUGAGUAGAGUGGCUAACGGGUGAGUAACACGUGGGUGACCUGCCUUCGAGUGGGGGAUAACGUUCCGAAAGGAACGCUAAUACCGCAUGACAUCCUGCUUUUGGAAAAGCGGAGAUCAAAGCUGGGGAUUCGCAAGAACCUAGCGCUUGAAGAGGGGCCCGCGCCUGAUUAGCUAGUUGGUGAGGUAACGGCUCACCAAGGCUACGAUCAGUA
rnacentral:rRNA from 1 species